rnacentral:rRNA from 1 species
GAUGAACGCUGGCGGUAUGCUUAACACAUGCAAGUCGAACGGACUCUUCGGAGUUAGUGGCGGACGGGGGAGGAACGCGGGAGAAGCUGGCUGUGGGUUCGGGACAACCACUGGAAACGGUGGCUAAUACCGGAUGUGCCGAGAGGUAAAAGAGAAAUUGCCUGAAGAUGAGCUCGCGUCUGAUUAGCUAGUUGGUGAGGUAAGGGCUCACCAAGGAAGCGAUCAGUAGCUGGUCUGAGAGGAUGACCAGCCACACUGAGUCUGAGACACGGCCCAGACUCCUGCGGGAGGCAGCAGUGGGGAAUUGUCCGCUAGGGGCAAGCGCCUGACGGAACAAUACCGCGUGGGGGAAGAAGCCUCUUGGGUUGUAAACCUCUUUUCUUAGGGAAGAACAAAAUGACGGUACCUAAUGAAUCAGCAUCGGCUAACUCCGUG